rnacentral:lncRNA from 1 species
ACCACUUUUACCCCUGUUUUUGUCCUUGUAGCAUUCAACAAUCCCUUCCCUGCAUCGCGCACCAAGUUCCCCUUCACCUGUUAAUUCCCAACGUUAUUGUUUUCACAUAUAUAAGAACAUAAUGAAUGACAAAACGAACAUACAUAACACGAAAAUGAACAAUAUUUUUUCAAUUACCCUGUUGGAUCGCCUAACUUCUAUAUUGCCAACGACAACGUCACUAACAUUGUUGCCUUGGACCUUUGCAUUUUCUUUUCCCGCACCAAUAUCAAGCUGAAUGAAAACAGUAAAAACUUCAAAUAAUGAAUUUUAUUUUUGUUGCCCCAAUCAUAUGUAAUUAUAGAGAGUAAAUACCUCAUCAUCCUUUGUUGAUUUACCCUCCUGAACUCCAACAUGUUUCAACUCCUCAACCACGGCCAUGUAAUUGUCCAAGUCUCCUUAAUCAUUUACAUCAAUCCUUUCUUCAGCCUGUACAUUUCCAUUGAUCACCACAUCCUUACACACAUAUAAUUGAAAUGCUUUAUGUUUUAUCUUUAAAAAUAAAAGCUUAUUUUGACAGAAAAGUAUUGUAUUUGGCAGUAACCUAGUAUUUUACCUCAGCCGUAGUGGUAGUUCUGCCCACUACUCUGUCAUUCUGG